rnacentral:rRNA from 1 species
CCUACGGGAGGCAGCAGUGGGGAAUAUUGCGCAAUGGGCGGAAGCCUGAUGCAGCGACGCCGCGUGGGUGAAGAAGCGUUUCGGCUCGUAAAGCCCUGUCGGCAGGGAAGAAGGGGGACGGUGCCUGACUGAGGAGCCCCGACUAACUACGUACCAGCAGCAGCGGUAAUACGGGGGGUGCGAGCGUUAAUGGGAAUUACUGGGCGUAAAGCGCUCGUAGGCGGUAUGUCAAGUGCAGGGUGAAAUCCCCGCGCUCAACGUGGGAACUGCCUUUGAAACUGGCAAACUGGAGUGUGUGAGAGGAUAGUGGAAUUCCAGGUGUAGGAGUGAAAUCCGUAGAUAUCUGGAGGAACAUCAGUGGCGAAGGCGACUAUCUGGCACAUAACUGACGCUGAGGAGCGAAAGCGUGGGUAGCAAACAGGAUUAGAUACCCUAGUAGUC